rnacentral:rRNA from 1 species
GAUGAAGGCUUUCGGGUCGUAAACUCUGUUGUUAGGGAAGAACAAGUGCUAGUUGAAUAAGCUGGCACCUUGACGGUACCUAACCAGAAAGCCACGGCUAACUACGUGCCAGCAGCCCGCGGUAAUACGUAGGUGGCAAGCGUUAUCCGGAAUUAUUGGGCGUAAAGCGCGCGCAGGUGGUUUCUUAAGUCUGAUGUGAAAGCCCACGGCUCAACCGUGGAGGGUCAUUGGAAACUGGGAGACUUGAGUGCAGAAGAGGAAAGUGGAAUUCCAUGUGUAGCGGUGAAAUGCGUAGAGAUAUGGAGGAACACCAGUGGCGAAGGCGACUUUCUGGUCUGUAACUGACACUGAGGCGCGAAAGCGUGGGGAGCAAACAGGAUUAGAUACCCUGGUAGUCCACGCCGUAAACGAUGAGUGCUAAGUGUUAGAGGGUUUCCGCCCUUUAGUGCUGAAGU